rnacentral:rRNA from 1 species
GAUGAACGCUGGCGGCGUGCCUAACACAUGCAAGUCGAGCGAAGCGCUUAAAUUAGAUUUCUUCGGAAUGACGAUUUUUGUGACUGAGCGGCGGACGGGUGAGUAACGCGUGGGUAACCUGCCUCAUACAGGGGGAUAACAGUUAGAAAUGACUGCUAAUACCGCAUAAGACCCCAGCUUCGCAUGAAGCGGUGGUAAAAACUCCGGUGGUAUGAGAUGGACCCGCGUCUGAUUAGCCAGUUGGUAAGGUAACGGCUUACCAAGGCGACGAUCAGUAGCCGACCUGAGAGGGUGACCGGCCACAUUGGGACUGAGACACGGCCCAGACUCCUACGGGAGGCAGCAGUGGGGAAUAUUGCACAAUGGGGGAAACCCUGAUGCAGCGACGCCGCGUGAAGGAUGAAGUAUUUCGGUAUGUAAACUUCUAUCAGCAGGGAAGAAAGUGACGGUACCUGACUAAGAAGCCCCGGCUAACUACGUG